ACAGCAGUCCGGAAACAGCUCCAAAAGCCUCCCUCAGUGAUUCUCCUUCUAGGCUGCUGUUGUCAUUAACUGCUCUCACUUGAGAGUGCUUAGUCAUGAAGUUGUCCAGCCCUGUCAAACUCAGCUGCAAGAGUUAGAUGCAUAGAGGAGCCUUUAGAAGGGGACCUUUCCUUGCCUAGCGCUGGCAAAAAGAAAACCUUACAUAACACCAUGGUCCAUUUCAAUACGUUAUUUCUGCAGCCCUGUGGGGAAACAAAACUCCAAGCACUGGAAAGACAAAGAAGAGGAUAACUCAGGGAUGUGCAGCUGCAGCAUCCGCCUGGAAUUUCAGUAGGUCAGGCUUAUCCUAACUGCAGCCGCUGUCGCUGGGAAAGCAGAAAGCAAGAUAAUUCUGAAAGCCGAAGGAGGUGCUUCAGAAAAGCAGAGGCAGAAGUUGAGCUCUCUCUCUGUCUCUCUCUGUCUCUCUCUGUGUCUCUCUCUCUCUGUCUCUCUGUCUCUCUCUCUCUUUUUAAACACAGAAUUCCUGGAAUUUACCCUUUGGAGCAUGCUGGCCCCUGCAUUUCUACAAAACAAGGUAAGAUUUGAUAGCAGUGAGCCUGUCACUGAAGGUAUUGUGUGUGCUCCGGCUGCAGCCCCCGAGGCUGGGCAGACACCCAAGGAGUCUCCGCUGGGGACAUGGGUGGGCUCCUAGUGCCAGGAGGCGAGGUGAGCCCAGCGGUCAGAGGGGGUUCGGUUCCAGAGCUGGGGCUGAGCCAGGUGGACAGGCGCACGCCCUGUUUCGUCCGAUAACUGCUCCCGCAGGUACACUUUAGGGACGGAGACUGCUUGCGAGGGCUCAGUCUGAAGACAGUGCAAUUACAGCUGCCUUCCCAGGAUCCCCCCAAAAGCUUCUUGGCAGAAGUUGUGGAUAAAAAUAGCCGGGAUAACACCGAGGGAAGGGGAGGAGCGAGUCUCGCGCAAGGCAGAGCAAGGCAAGGACACUACCUUGGUUAAUGAAUCCUCUACAAUUUCUCCAUCUCAGAGCAUCUCUAAUUUGAAGUGACAUGAAGUUGGCAUUUUGGGGGCAGACACUGUGUACCAGACAUAUUGUCAGCUCCAGAACUGCACCAAAUUCACAAGGAAGAGAGUGACACGUUUGUUCCGGGAACUAAGAAAAGACCCUGAGCAGAAGGACAAAUGAGAACAAGAACUGAGCAGUGUGUAAGCAGCAUCCUUCAAAGGCACAGAAGAUUUAACCUUUAAUGACGCAGGAAUAGAGGCUCCAAACAUAAACCAGCUACUCACAUAUUAACAGGUUUUGACACUCUCAAUUUCCCUCAGCCACCAGGAACUCUGAGAGCAUCCCAGACCCUGACAAAGGCCAUGCUAUUCUCUGCUACUGUUGAUAUAGUCUAGCAGGUGCACAGCAAAGGGACCAAGUGACCGUGAGCUGAAAAUUCUGAAAAAUAAAAUUUUCCUCUUUCAGUUACAUCUAAUAUUUUAUCAUGGAGUUGGAAAGCUGACCACUAUGAGAAUACGAUGGUUAAGAGCUUGGACCUAAAGUGAGCAAGGUUUUCUUUCAUUCUACAGCACCACUACUUAACCAGGGGGCAAUCAGUCUCUCCCAGUGACUCAGUUUCUUUAUCCUUCCUGUGUAGGACACAUGAUCGUGUGUACACGUCAAGGUCAUGGGAGCACUCGGCAACAUAAUGGAUAUAAAGUGUGUGGCUCAGUACCUGAGAUAUACGAGUAAUUUUUACCAUAUUUUUAUUAUGUUAUCAUAUGCUUUUAUAUUGUUAGGUGUAUUCCUAAUAGAAUAAGUAAAUAUUCCAUUAUUGUCUGCAAUAUUGUUAUUGUCAACUCAAUUGUGUUUCCAUUCUUAACGUAUGAAUUUAUUCACGUGUACUCUAGAUGGUACACAACAGAUAGUUCCUGUAUUUUUUGGAAUGUUUUUGUGGUAGCAAUGUUAGCAAUAUGAUUAAAUAAAUAAUAUGUUAAAAUUUUUGGAGAAGGGCUAUGAGGAUUUUAUUUCUAAAAACAAGCCUUCUGUAUAUCCCCAGUUCCCUACUGUAUCUAACAAUAAUUAACACUUGGAGAAAUAAUUAAAUCCUUUUACGAGUCAAGUGACUUUAUUUCUAAAAAGUAAUGAUGGUUUAUAUGAGAUUUAUAUGGGAUUUCAGCAAUGACUUGGUGUUUUUAAGUAUAUGAAACAUAAUAAGUGAACAAUUGCAUAAAGUAUUACAGUAAUCCUUCAUUUGAAAGAAUCUCGUGUAGCUUUUAACCACCCCUAUCCUAAACUAAGGGGACUCGAAGCUAAUAAAAAGCCUUUUUAUUCA